UGAAUACGAGACGCUAAGGCGUCGAAGUAGUGUAUGUCAUACUUCCAAGAAAAGCUUGCACUGUCAUAAGUAAAAAAUGCCUGUACCAUAACCGACACAGGUGGGUAGGUAGAGUAUACUAAGGGGCGCGAGAUAACUCUCUCUAAGGAACUCGGCAAAAUAACUCCGUAACUUCGGGAGAAGGAGUACCUUAUUCUAUAAGGUUGCAAUAACAAGAUCCAAGCAACUGUUUAUCAAAAACACAGGUCUCCGCUAAGUCGUAAGACGAUGUAUGGGGGCUGACGCCUGCCCAGUGCCAGAAGGUUAAAGAAGUCGGUUAGCAUUAGCGAAGCUGGUAACUGAAGCCCUGGUGAACGGCGGCCGUAACGAUAACGGUCCUAAGGUAGCGAAAUUCCUUGUCGGGUAAGUUCCGACCCGCACGAAAGGCGUAAUGAUUUGGAUACUGUCUCGGAGAGGGGCUCGGUGAAAUAGACUUGUCUGUGAAGAUGCGGACUACCUGCACCAGGACAGAAAGACCCUAUGAAGCUUUACUGUAACUUGAAAUUGAAAUUGGACUUUAUUCGCGCAGUAUAGGUGGGAGGUGUUGAUUAUAAUCUUGCGGGAUUAUUGGGGCCAUCAGUGAGAUACCACUCUUGUAAUGUUAGAUUUCUAACUUUGAAUCAUUAUCUGGUCAAAGGACAGUUUCAGGCGGGCAGUUUGACUGGGGCGGUCGCCUCCCAAACGGUAACGGAGGCGUACAAAGGUUUCCUCUGAACGGGUAGAAAUCGUAUCUAGAGUGUAAAGGCAUAAGGAAGCUUGACUGUGAGACCUACAAGUCGAACAGGGACGAAAGUCGGUCUUAGUGAUCUGACGGUACUGAGUGGAAAGGCCGUCACUCAACGGAUAAAAGUUACUCUAAGGAUAACAGGCUGAUCUCCCCCAAAGUUCACAUCGACGGGGAGGUUUGGCACCUCGAUGUCGGCUCAUCGCAUCCUGGGGCGGUAGUACGUCCCAAGGGUUGGGCUGUUCGCCCAUGAAAGCGGUACGCGAGCUGGGUUCAGAACGUCGUGAGACAGUUCGGUCCAUAUCCGGUGUAGGCGUUAGAAUAUCGAGAGGAGCCUUCUUUAGUACGAGAGGACCGAGAAGGACAUACCUCUGGUGUACCAGUUAUCGUGCCAACGGUAAACGCUGGGUAGCUAUGUAUGGAGUGGAUAACCGCUGAAAGCAUCUAAGUGGGAAGCCCACCUCAAGAUAAG
rnacentral:rRNA from 1 species